AUUGCACGCUGGCGGCAGGCCUAACACAUGCAAGUCGAGCGAGCGGCGGACGGGUGCGUAAUGUCUGGGAAACUGCCUGAUGGAGGGGGAUAACUACUGGAAACGGUAGCUAAUACCGCAUACCAUCAGAUGUGCCCAGACGGGAUUAGCUAGUUGGUGGGGUAACGGCUCACCAAGGCGACGAUCCGUAGCUGGUUUGAGAGGACGACCAGCCACACGGGGACUGGGACACGGCCCAGACUCCUACGGGAGGCAGCAGUGGGGAAUAUUGGACAAUGGGCGAAAGCCUGAUCCAGCCAUGCCGCGUGUGUGAAGAAGGUCUUCGGAUUGUAAAGCACUUUAAGUUGGGAGGCGUUACCAACAUAAUAAGCACCGGCUAACUUCGUGCCAGCAGCCGCGGUAAUUC
rnacentral:rRNA from 1 species